CCCUACGGGGCGCAGCAGGCGCGAAAACUUUACAAUGCGAGAAAUCGUGAUAAGGGAACCCCGAGUGCCCGUAAAUCCGGGCUGUCCGCCAGUGUAAAUAACUGGCGAAGAAAGGGCCGGGCAAGACCGGUGCCAGCCGCCGCGGUAAUACCGGCGGCUCGAGUGGUGGCCGCUAUUACUGGGCUUAAAGCGUUCGUAGCUGGGCUGUUAAGUCCCCUGGGAAAUCCACCGGCUCAACCGAUGGGCGUUCAGGGGAUACUGGCAGCCUAGGGACCGGGAGAGGUGAGGGGUGCUCCAGGGGUAGGAGUGAAAUCCUGUAAUCC
rnacentral:rRNA from 1 species